AGAACAUUCUAAUGGGAACUCAGUGUUCUGGUUUGCCAGCAUCCUCAGCAGCCAGGCCUCACAGCCCCAGUGAGGAACUUUAUGGGGACUGAAGGCUUCCUUCUCCCCUUCUCUUACGGAAACAAGGGGAGAGCCAGCUGUCUUACCAUCAGCCACAUCCAGAUAAACGUGAGCAGUCCGGUCAGGUGUGCGGCAGGGAAGCCACACUGCAGGCCCACAGUCCGUCUGUAUACGUGCCCAACUCGUCCAUAAGUUCCACCGGAAGAACGGGGCAGACCUGGUCACCGCUCUCCAUCAGGAUGUGUGACAAGCAGGCACCUGCCAUCUCACUUUGGACUUUGGCCAUUCAGCUUGACCAGAAUUCAGGCCAGCAGACCGCUUGUGCUCCCCAGCAGCAGGCCCAGGUGGGGAAGCAUCUGUGCUCCCAGAGGUGGCUCGGAGCCAGACCCUCCAAGCCGACCUGAGGCACAAUAGCAUUGUCCAGCCAUAAGCAAUGGCUUAUCGACCAGUCUCCACCAAGCGGGAUGCGGCUAUGAAAGCAUUUUCUCUGACCACCAUCUCCAAGAGUGCAAUGCUGAAUGCCCCUUCCUCGUGAGGAGUCUGUGCUGUAAGGGCCUCUUGGGCAGAUUCUAAAACCUUCAGGUUAUUUCAGUCGUUAAAAUUGCAUCCAGUUUGAAACUCCCAUCUCAUACGCAACUUGGAGCUUCCUCCCUGCCCAGCUCUGGCCAGGCUUAUGUUUCAAGGGACCCAGGGAGAAGUGGAUCUGUUCUGUCCUCCCCUCCCUUCUCUCUUUGGAGUAGGGCCUCUCCCACCUCCAAGACACCCCCUCCCUCUUCUUCCGUAGCUUUCCUCCGGGAGGCCGUGCUGAGAUGCAAACCCAAGGCUGUCUGGCUCCGAGGGCCAUGUUCUCAUACCCUGCUCCUCUGCCUCCAUGCGGCCCUCAUCCACAGAGAGGCAGUCAGGCUGGGCGUCAGACCCAACAUCAAAGGAUGGGGCUUGUGUCUCGGGGAGCAGCUCAGCCAAAACUAUGGGUGAGCAUUAGGGGGAUGGCUGGCUAAGUUCCCGGUUAAAGUUCCACAUCUGCCACUUCAAAGUUACUGAAACUUUGAGAAGAGGUCACUGCGGACUGAGGUCAUCAAGGAGAACCUCGUGGAGAAGGUGAGGGCCCUUGGAAGCUACUGUUUUUUGAUCGCUAACUGUGUGCCAAGCACUGUUCUGGGAACUUGACAUUCACGAACACAUUUUAUCCUUUCAACAACCUCAUGAGCUUGAAGGGGCCUGGAGGAAACGUCGUGGUGUCAUUUAGGAGAGAGUGACUUUGAAGAGCCUGUGGGUCAUCCAGGUGGGAGACGUCCAGCGUGGCUGGGGCUGGAAAUGCCGACCUCAGGUCUCCAGUAUCUCAGCGGGUGGAAGUCACCAUUGGCUGGACACACCCAGCUCCACCUCACUAACACUGCAGCGCCAGCACCUCCUCCAAGAUGAGAGCAGCCCAGCCCCCACACCCCAGCCCACCUGCAGAACCACAGGCCUUCCAAGCUUUCAUUCUGCGUGUCUUGCGUGUGUCAUCGAGUCCCCAGAUUUGAAGAGGAGAGUGAACUGGAGUGUGGACCUCCUCGCUCGCAGCCGGUGACUUCUUUCCUCUACAGUGAGUGGCCAAAAGCAGGUGGCUUCAAAGGUGAAUUAAUUCUCUGCUGGAAAAAUUGAGCUGUAAAAGUCUAGCGAUUGGGAACCUAGACUCUGCGGCAGCAGGAACAUGUUUCAGACGCCAAAGCCAGGAACUUGGACCCCGUUCUGGAACAGCCAGACGCACACAGCCCCGAGACGCCUUUCAGUGAGGCUGGAAAUGAGGCUAAAUUGCACAAAAGAUGGUGCUCUCACCACCAGCUCUCCCAAGACAGACCCUCCUCCAUGGCUGCUGACACUUCUUGUUCUCUGAGAGGCGCUCAUCCACCCUACAGCCUGACCAGUGUCCUCUGAGCUUCCUGGAAGAGGAGCAAAGAGCCCGGUCCCAACACUUCUCAGGUGCGCUUUCUAACACCAGGUUCCCAGAGACCUCCUGCUGUCCCAGUGCCUCCUGUCCUCUUGGUCUCUUUCCAGGGCUCAGCGCCCAACCUGCCUUGUCUCAACGGAGCCAAAGCAAGGCCUUCCUGGAGAGUCGGUGAGGUUCCUUCCCGUGGCUGCGUUCAUGUCCCCAAAGUCUGUGGUCCUUGGGCCAUUCAGUCCUCUCAUGUUGUCUCAACAACUGAGCCAACUGUUUCUUCUAAGUGGAUUCAACUUCCAACCCGAUCGGCCUCCUUCCCAAGAAGUCCCAAGUGGCGGGGGAGGCGCGACACUACAGAGGCAGCCCCCACCCCACCACUGUCACCGCAGGGACUGGCCACAGGCCUGCAUGUUGUUGUGUGUCACCGGUGGACAGCGGCCCGUGGAAAGGCAGUGGGGGCCACAAGAGAGUUCACUCCCCUGAUGUGCUGACCGUCUGCUGCGUCAGGACACUGCCCAAGGCUCCCAGGUGACAGUGCUAAGGACAGCACUUCUGAUGGCCACAGCACCCAGCCAUUCAUUACUGUGAUGUCCCCAUCACUGAGCCUACUGAUGAGAUUAUUGAUCCCAGG
rnacentral:lncRNA from 1 species